ACCGUUGCCCUGUUUGCCCAAAGGAAGAGCGAAAUGUAUUUUUAUUUUUUUACAAACAGAUGAGUUUCCUUUUAGAGCUACUGGAUCUGAAUUAGCUGGGAUGGGAAUGCCUCUGUGGCCAGAGGGCUCCGGACGGAGCAGCUGUCAGCUGGGUGGCUGGCCACCACGCCCGGUGCCUGGGAGGACAGGAGGCUUUGCCCCACUCUAUGAGGAGCGCGGCCUGGCUGUGGGCACAUGGAGGCCAGCACACCGGGGUCCUCCCGGGUACGUCCGGAUCUCUCUCCCAGAGACCGCCUGCAGUCAUGGAGAAGGAGGUGCUGACCCCAUGGCCCUGUGAGCAGAGGUGCGAACAAGGAGAGCCUGUCUUGAUUUGGACAGCCUAACCCUGUGUUGUCCCAAGAUCUAGUUCAGAAUCCGGCGAGCCACUCCUGAACUUGGCUGGGAAAGAGAUGCUCCACCUUCAGAGUGACCUGAAUACACUAAUGAAGCCACAGAACACCCCACCACGUGUGGUUUCCUGGAUGGAUAAACGUUUCCUCACCACCCACCCCCCAACCCAGAGGACUGUCAGAGUCAGACAGGCCAGCCUUUGGGAUGUGGAUUUAGGAUUUUGUCCUGAAGUAGAAAUUCCGGGGAUAGGGAUAAAUUUGUUUUUUUGCAAAAACUGUCCCGUUUCUGCACACUUGCGUAUUUUAGCCUUUCCGAAUCACCUUGUCCUCCUUGGCCACUCACGCUCCCCUUGCGUGAUUGCAUGCCCCAUUUGUGCUCAGGAUCCCAUGGCACAAGCAGUCUCUUUCAGCCUCCAGAGCUGGGUGCUAUGCAGGGCCCAGAGUGCUGCCUGCGGAUGUGGCUCCCCAGGGAGUGACAGGACUCUGCAGGGACAAACUGCUCCGCAGAGGGAACCCAGACCUUUGCAAACAAAGGCGUUUAGCAUCCUUCUGGAAAGUCCCAUGAAAAGCAAAUCAUUGCAACAUUUUUUCCUCUUGUUAGUCUCGUGGUGUGUUGUAUG